rnacentral:lncRNA from 12 species
UUAAACAUAACUUUGUUUGAGCGUGAGAGACAAAUGGUGUCUGCAUGUGUGUGUGCGUCUGUAUGAGAGAGCAUGGCCUUAAGUAGUUCUAGUUUUCUUAAAAAAAAAAAAACAAUUUUAAGAAGGGCAGAUUUCCUUUAGUGGUCAGACUUACUGUAAUGUCUUUUCUAUGGAGACGCAACAGCUUUAUAUCUGGAAAAAAGUUUUAAGAUCUCGAUUCGGGUUUAAUCGAGAAAUUUAAUCUAAUCUUGAUUCCAGAUCUUCGUCGUCAUCUUUAAUUAAUUCAUGUUUAUUUGUUUGUUUGUUUUAUUAUUAUUAUUUCACGUUUAAAUUUCGUCUUUUGUUUGUUGAACAUAAUUCUCUCUUCACCUCUCCAAAAGUUGUAAACAUGAUAAAUGAUUUGCUAAUGUAAUAUUCAUCUUUGCGUUUUGAUCACUUUACGCACAAUUGGGUAGAAAUAACAAUAAUACAAAUUGUCUGGAAAAUUAAGUGACUUUGUUGCAUCGAUUAUCUUAAUUUUCCACAAAAGGAAUAUUACACAUAACAUUAUUAUAUUAUUAUUAUUUUCAUGUUGUUUAAUCUGUUUUAGUGCCUAUGACUGACUAAACCUUUAAUUCAAAGUGUCAAAAGUUAUCCAAAGCCAUUUUGGAGACCCCGUGAAGUGCUUCAUUUAUGUCGUAGAACAGCACCAGAAGAAGCAGAAAUAUUAGGUUUUAUAUGAUUUUUUUCCAUCCUGUGUCCAGUCCUAGGAAUCGAUCACUUAUUGUGAGGAGGGUGCGCGGGAAACCUGUUUGAGGGCGCAAUGAUGCGCAUCGGUGUCUCUCUGAGCUCCUGCUUCGGCGCCAGAGACAAAAGCCUUCCAGAGACUAAGAAGAAGAGAAAAGAAAAGGAAAGAUAGACGAGAUUAUCUCAUCCGUUAGCUAUCAACAGUGUUGCUUAGAUCAGCUUUGUCUCCUCCAGUCCCAAGACUAUAAUGGCUCAGGAGGAAAGUCGGAGUGGAGCGCUUCUAGCUUUUUCUCUUAAGAACCGAAAAGCAAGGCCAACAACCCUUGUGCUGGAAGCUUCAAAUCCCAUAAUUACAAAGCUGACAGUUAACACACAGGUAAGCUACCCUUACUGACGGGCAA